rnacentral:rRNA from 1 species
GACGACAAGACCCUAAAAUCUUUAGUUUAAAGGGGUUUAGUGGGGUAAGGGUUAAAUACUAAGGCCCUAAAGCUUUAACUGGGGUAGUUUUUUUAUAGAAAUUAAGAUUGUAUUUACAUAUAUUGGGCUAAAGGUCUUUAAUAUUGAGACAGAUAGGGUAAGUUACUUUAGGGAUAACAGCGUAAUAGGCCUGAAGAGAUCUUAUCUAUAGGUGUGAUUGCGACCUCGAUGUUGAAUUAAGAGAUCCCUGUAGGGUAAGUGAUAUAGGAGAGGGUUUGUUCAACCCUUAAAAUCUUACAUGAUCUGAGU